AGUGAACGCUGGCGGUAGGCCUAACACAUGCAAGUCGAACGGCAGCACAGUAAGAGCUUGCUCUUACGGGUGGCGAGUGGCGGACGGGUGAGGAAUACAUCGGAAUCUACUUUUUCGUGGGGGAUAACGUAGGGAAACUUACGCUAAUACCGCAUACGACCUACGGGUGAAGGCAGGGGAUCUUCGGACCUUGCGCGAUUGAAUGAGCCGCUGUCGGAUUAGCUAGUUGGCGGGGUAAAGGCCCACCAAGGCGACGAUCCGUAGCUGGUCUGAGAGGAUGAUCAGCCACACUGGAACUGAGACACGGUCCAGACUCCUACGGGAGGCAGCAGUGGGGAAUAUUGGACAAUGGGCGCAAGCCUGAUCCAGCCAUACCGCGUGGGUGAAGAAGGCCUUCGGGUUGUAAAGCCCUUUUGUUGGGAAAGAAAAGCAGCAGGUUAAUACCACGCUGUGCUGACGGUACCCAAAGAAUAAGCACCGGCUAACUUCGU
rnacentral:rRNA from 1 species